rnacentral:rRNA from 1 species
UACGUAGGGAGCAAGCGUUGUUCGGAUUUACUGGGCGUAAAGGGCGCGUAGGCGGCGCGGUAAGUCACUUGUGAAAUCUCUGAGCUUAACUCAGAACGGCCAAGUGAUACUGCAGUGCUAGAGUGCAGAAGGGGCAAUCGGAAUUCUUGGUGUAGCGGUGAAAUGCGUAGAUAUUCGCAAGAACACCAGUGGCGAAGGCGGCUCACUGGCCCGAUACUGACGCUGAGGUGCGAAAGCGUGGGGAGCAAACAGG